rnacentral:rRNA from 1 species
UACGUAGGGACCAAGCGUUGUUCGGAUUUACUGGGCGUAAAGGGCGCGUAGGCGGCAUGACAAGUCACUUGUGAAAUCUCCGGGCUUAACUCGGAACGGUCAAGUGAUACUGUCGCGCUAGAGUGCGGAAGGGGCAAUCAGAAUUCUUGGUGUAGCGGUGAAAUGCGUAGAUAUUGGGAGGAACACCAGUGGCGAAGGCGGCUCGCUGGACCGGUUCUGACGCUGAGGCGCGAAAGCGUGGGGAGCAAACGGG